CACAUCUCACCCCCACCAGGCCCAACACAACCUAACCCGGCCCACCAUUAUUUCCUAUCUCCCUCAAACAACAACCCCCAAACAAGAGAAAGAAACAGAUCCCCAAAUCCCUCAACAUUGCAACAACAACCAAGCUCCGACCCGUUCUAACACCUCGCCUGAAAACCCACCGACCCAUCUUCAACCCAAUUUCAACCAAAUCAACCUGUUUGUAGCCUUCUUCAUGCGUCUCACACGGGUUCACGCGAAGAAAACCCUCGAAUCUUCUAGAAACAAGCUAGGUGUCAUCCCCAACAGCUAACUCCGCGAAUUUCGGUAUAACUCGUACGAUCUCGUACAUAUUUGGCUGAUUUCCAUUGAUUUUGGGGGAAAAUUUGUUUUGCCCUUUUUUAAUUGGUCCACCCGUUGCAAUUUGGUUGAAAAAAAUCCAAUGCUAUGGGGGAAAUUUUGGGAUUCAAAUUCAAGAGAUCUUUCUUUCAAAUCCCAAAGAAAAAUAAAAAAAAAUACCCCAAUUCGGUUUUCUAUUUAAGAGGGGAAGGGGUCAUUGUUUCAGGGGUUGGAGAUUUGAGAGUUGCAAUUAGGGUUCGAAACUUUGGGGAUUUUUUUUCUCUCCUCUCUUUUCCCUUCGAAGUUGGAAAUUUUAGAGGCCUUUGGGUUUUCUGUGUGGGGGGUUCGAAAGUCUUGUUCAAAAAAUUUCUGAGACUCUUGGGUUCGAAAAUUAGGUUUUGGUCGAUUUUGGUUCAAAAAGAAAAAGAUUUUCUAGGGGGAAUUUAGGUUGAAAAAUUCUGGAAAGAAAUAAAGGAGAAGAAAACGUUUAGAGCAUCAUUUUACUUAGUAAGGUUAUCUCGCUCCUGCUUCUUUGAAAGGUGACCGUUUAAUCGAAAGCCUCGAGGGUUCGUUGAUUGAUUAUGGGUGUGAGGUGACGAAGACAUCAUUUUCUGGUGGCUACUCAUCUUGACCUUAGCUUGUCAUCCGGUUUGCUGCAUCGAAAUAGGUAAUAGCCCAUCCCGUUAGUUUUCGAUUGCUUCUACUUCAUCUCAACCUUCUAUAGUUCUGAAUCUAAAUGAUAUGGCGUACGAGGUUGUCUGUUACAGAGGUCUUUAAUACCCUAGAGUAUGUUUUGCUGAAAGUAUUGCUUGUCGUGUGAUUAUGUGUGAUGUCGAACUGCUGGCUUAGAGGUUAAAACUUGUUGCUUAAGUCUCAUACGCUCAUCUCGAUUUUGUAAUCUGUUAUUUGAUUUUAACAUUAUUAAUUAGCUUUCGAUUUGCUGUUGUGCAUUGGCAUUGAUCGUGGGUUUAAUCCACCAAUUGACUUUGGGAUUCCUGUUUUGAUUUUCACUUCAUUGGCUAGCUGACAGUGUCUUGUUAUAGUUGAUAUUACGUAAAAGUUUCAUGUUUGUAAUAGUUUAGGCUAAUGGUGUCCUGUUAUAGCCGAUCCUAUUUAAAGUUCAUGCUUUGAAUGUGAUUCAUAGUCUCUGGAUGCGGGCAAUCUUGUUUACGCGAUUUCUUGAUUAAGGUUUUAUGUUUCGGUUCCGUUUUUAUAAGUUUCGGGCUGCUGAAUAUUGUUUACCUGAUCUCAGUGUUCCCUUCGUUGUGGGAUUGCAAAAAUUAGAACCUUUCAUUUCUUUGUUGAGUUCGUGCUAAGUCGAUGUUCCAUUUGCUUGAUCCCCGAGGAAAAUGUAAUUGUUUUAUCGUAAAAAGGAAUGGAUGGGGUCUCUUUGAUGUUGAAUUCGAGUCAAGUCAGUUUUGUCUAAUGGAAUAUGGUCUUGACCUGGAAAUGAUAUUGUUUAUGAACAUCCUUUUGUGCUUCAUUCAAAGUUUAAAUGUUUGAAUUUGGGUUGCAAUUUCAUCUAGCGGGAAAAGAUGAUCAUGAUCAUCAAGGGAAAUGAUUUUUUGUUAUGUGUAUGGAUUCUCUGUGUUUUAUUCUCUUUGUUUUAUAUAGUGUUUUGGUGAUGGGUUUGAUGUUAAUUACUGUGGUGGAUUGCUAGUAUUAGCUAAGGUUCCUCAAUUCAUUAAUUGUUAUGAAGGGAAAAUAAGUAGAUCGCAGUGCAACUGAUGCAAGGGAAAACUUUUCUACCCCAUGCUUGAGCUAAUUUUCUUUAAUUACCUUUCUGUGACUCUAUAUUUUCUGAGUUUCCAACUAAUUGUAUAGGAUUUUGAGUGUAUCCAUAGGCAAGAUUCAGAGUUUUUUUUCUUAGAAUUCACUUUGUGUGCCAUAAUUUUGUCAAAUUGAUUUCUACGCUCUUGGGUAUUGAAUGGGUUAUUCACAAUUGAGUGCAAAUAAAGUCUGCAUCAAGACAUAAUUUGUUUAGCAUGUUGUUUGACUAUAUGAACGCACCCUCACUCUUUCUUAUUAGCCUUUUGGCUGAGUAUUGAGUUAGUUUGCUCUGUGAUUUCUUUCCAUCAGAUAGUCAUACGUUAUGUAUCUCAUUUCUUUAUUUUCUUGAUUUGAUGUUUGUGUUUUUCUUUAAUCCCCCCUUCUUUUUCUUUCUUAGUUGAUCACAUAUUAACAUUCAUUACUUUCUUGCUUUGCAUGAACCCGUCUUGGAGUCCAAAUGGACUCUCCUUCCCUUUGCAUCCCUCAUUGGGCCAAUGAGGCCCAUCUCAUUGAGUCGAGUCGAAAGAAAGUCCAAAAAUCCGUUGCAUGGCGUAUGGAUGUAAAAAGAGAACAAGAGAGGAAGAGAGGGACUUAGUCCCGUCUUUGAAGCUGCAUGAAGACUAGAAACCCUUCGGCUUCUCAUUCGUUUAUAUAUUCGUCCUUUAUUUAUUUAAUUAUCUAUUUAUUUAUUUAUUUAUUUAUUCAGUUUAUUACUUAUUCAUUUAUUUGGGGCCUCUAGGCCAAAGUUGUAUUUCAUACGGGUGAAGUGAGACUCGAGCCAAACGCUCGAAAAUUAGAUUAGGACAGGUGAAAAUGGGUCGAAAACCCAACUAGAUUAGGACAGGUUUUGUUGAUUUGGGCUCGAUGGCCUAAAUCGUUUACUUUCCCCUUCCUUUCCCUUUUUAUGUGUUUACUUGCUUAUUCAUUUUGUUUAGACUUAGUUUAGAAUCCCUAAUAAGUUGCUUAAAUCUAUUUUACACAAAUCGUUUUCUAAAACCAAUCACUUUUUGACAAAAUUAAUCUUUUUGAAGUUAAUCAAAAGAUGAUUUUCAAACAGUCUGGAUAACAACAAGUUAGCGGACGUUUUAGGUGUCUAACACCUUCCUAAAAUGCUAAUAGGAACCUCUUACUCAGAAUCUUCAAAAGUUGAACGAUUUUUAUGUUUUGGAUUGUUUAAAGUAUUUUAUAAAGGUUUCUUAAUUCCUUUUCAAAAUUAAGUGACGACUCUUUAAAAGUCAAAAUUUUCGCAAACCAAAAAUUUGUAUUGUAGAAUUACCAAUGUUGUUUGUAAGAGUAAUAUGGUUGUAAUGGUGAAAAUAAUGAAAAUGGAAAAGAAAGGGAGCGUGUGUCACAUCUCCGGCAGCCAAAUCUGGGUAUAGAGUUUUGUGGGUAAUAAUUUCACUUUAAAACAUCUAGGGGUAAUAGGAUCUCCGCAAAGUUCAGUAUGCUCAAUUGGAAAUUUGAUCAAUUUUCAAGUAUUUUUGUGAGUAUUCCCCCAAAGAAAAAUAGAGGGGAAAUGCACGGUGGGUAUAAUUUAAUGAAAUAUAACUUUUAUAGUUAAUGUCAUUAAAUAAUUUUGUUAUAACUUUUAUAGUUAAUGUCAUUAAAUAAUUUUGUUAAUGACCAUUGUAUAACCUUGUCCCACAUUAAUUUGGACAGGGAGAAAGUAUUUAUGUAAGUUGAGAAAAUUGAAGGAAAAGUGUCUUUUAAGUCUUGAAUGAAGGAUUAGUGACAUUGAUCAACAGUCAGGGUUAAACAUCAUUAGAAAACUUGAUUAAGUUAAUUGUGGACUUGAUUAAUAUUUUCAAAACUUUCUAAUUUUUUAAAAAAUACAAAUCAAUUCAACCCACACCCCUCUUCAAUCCAAAUCAACCACUCUCUCUUCUCUCUCGACAGCUUCUCUUAACUCUCUUCCAACUAACAGUUCUGCAAAAUUUCUUCCUUCAACCCCGACGACUUCUACCUCUAGUGGAAAAUAGUUGGGAUUCAAGUUUUCCUCUUUUAUUCUUUCAGCUCAUGGCGAUUUCUACCUCCAGUGACAAAUAGUUGGGCUUCGAGUUCCUCUCUUCAAUUCAAAUCAACUUGUCUCACAUCCCUCUCUCGACAGCUUCUCUCAACUUUCUCCCAAUCAAAUGUUAUGUAAAUUUAUCAUUUCAAUCCUCGGCGACUUCAACAUUCGACUACAAAUAGUUGGGUUUCGAGUUCCUUUUCGAUUUCAACCUUUAAUCGACGUGAUAGCCUUGCUCUUCGGCCACAACAGCUUUGAAUUCUUUAUUAUUCCUUUUCUUCUUUCACAGAUAAAAAUUUAUGGCCUUUUUAGUUUUGAAAAAAACGAGGAACUUGAGCCAACUUCUCUUAUAGUAUUGGUUAACAAUUUCAAUAUUUGUUGCAUUAAUUUGAAAUACGGUCUGAAUAAAAUCCUAAUUUCUGGUAUUUCUUCUCUUCUCUUUUUGAAGUGAAUUAUGAUAUUUCGUUGUUUGUUGCAUUUUUUUGAAGUUUGAUUUUUAUUAUUUGUGUUUAUAAAAACAAAACGACAAUUUGGGUUGAUUUGUUCUGUUCUUGUUCUUGGUAAAAAUGGUGAAAUUGUUGUUUUUUGUUAAAUAAAAUCAUGCUACUAUUUUUUGUUUCCUCCGACAGAUUACCCAUCUGGUGCAAUAUAUUAACC
rnacentral:lncRNA from 1 species